rnacentral:lncRNA from 1 species
AGGGGAAACUCCUAGUUGCCGCUUCGCCCGGCUUGACAGGCGGUCUGUGCCGGCAGUGUGCUGCCCUCACCCAUCUCGACCUCCCGUUCGCGUCCGACCGCUGCCGUCCCGCUGCCCUUUUCUCGAGCCUCCCCUUCCCUAUGUUCCGGGACCGGAGUCCGAGAAGCAAAGACCCACUUCUUGUCCAGUUCCCAUCAUGUCCGAAGUGACCAAAGAGCUGCUGGAGCUGGUGUGGGGCACCAAGAGCAGUCCCGGACUGUCGGACACCAUCUUCUGCCGCUGGACGCAAGAACUUCUCGGUAUCCAUGAACAAGCAGCUGUAGGAUUCUUAACACUAAUGGAAGCUUUACGAUAUUGUAAGGU